rnacentral:rRNA from 1 species
GAUCAUGGCUCAGGAUGAACGUUAGCUACAGGCUUAACACAUGCAAGUCGAGGGGUAGCAUUUCAGUUUGCUUGCAAACUGGAGAUGGCGACCGGCGCACGGGUGAGUAACACGUAUCCAACCUGCCGAUAACUCGGGGAUAGCCUUUCGAAAGAAAGAUUAAUACCCGAUAGUAUAAUUAGACCGCAUGGUCUUAUUAUUAAAGAAUUUCGGUUAUCGAUGGGGAUGCGUUCCAUUAGGCAGUUGGUG